rnacentral:lncRNA from 1 species
UGGACCAAAAAAGUGAUUUUCAAUUUUUUUUUUCUUCAAAUAUCCAUCUUAUGUUUAAACAGACACACAAACAUAUAUACACAAAUAAUAGAGGAAGUUCAACCCAUGGAACUCUAUCAAAUUAAGGAUGGGGUCAUGUGUAGCAGACCAAAACGAUGUCAUUUUGGGAAACCCCAAAACGGUGCUGUUUUAGGUAUGAAAAAAACUAGAGGCGUGUUUGCCUCUGGUCGGGAAAGGUGAAGAGGCAGAGGCGUGUAUGCCUCUGCCACCGGCUGAAAAGGGAGGAGAGGAGACCUGCACACCAAGAAAUAAGGGUCGUGUAAGACUCCUCUAAGCCCUCCCAAUAAAACAUGAAGAGAAAGAAGAAAGAUCGAUGCAGGAAGAGAAAGAGAAAAAGAGAGAGAGAGGGAGAGAGGAAAAUAAAGAGAGAAGGGCUACGGUUACCAUCAGUCAGUAACUGAGAGAGGGUAAGAAGAAGAAGAAUAAAAAAAAGAUGAGGAGAGGUUGGUGCUGCGUUUGGCGGUGCAUAGGAGAAAAAGACGGUCUAUGUGGCGGCAUGGUGCACGUUUUACUAUUUUAUGGCUCCCUCCGGUGUGAUUCCACCAGAUCUGUGCUAAAUCUGAGAGCAUGAGGUGCUUUGCGGUGAAUUUUGGCCAAUCCAAAGUGACAAUCAGCGGCGAGCGGCAGCGAUCGAUGGUGAGCAGCGGUGGCGCGUGGCAGUCCGGUGGUUGCACACAGUGAGUCCUAGGAGCCCAGUUCAGGUAGGUGAGUUCAAAAAAUCCUAAUGG